CAAGUCGAGGGGAAACGACAUCGAAAGCUUGCUUUUGAUGGGUGUCGACCGGCGCACGGGUGAGUAACGCGUAUCCAACCUGCCCACCACAUGGGGAUAACCUUGCGAAAGUAAGACUAAUACCCAAUGAUAUCUCUAGAAGACAUCUGAAAGAGAUUAAAGAUUUAUCGGUGAUGGAUGGGGAUGCGUCUGAUUAGCUUGUUGGCGGGGUAACGGCCCACCAAGGCGACGAUCAGUAGGGGUUCUGAGAGGAAGGUCCCCCACAUUGGAACUGAGACACGGUCCAAACUCCUACGGGAGGCAGCAGUGAGGAGUAUUGGUCAAUGGACGAGAGUCUGAACCAG
rnacentral:rRNA from 1 species